UAGAGAAUCUUCCACAAUGGACGAAAGUCUGACGGAGCAACGCCGCGUGAGUGAUGAAGGUCUUCGGAUCGUAAAACUCUGUUAUCAGGGAAGAACAAGUAUCGGAGUAACUGCCGGUACCUUGACGGUACCUGACCAGAAAGCCACGGCUAACUACGUGCCAGCAGCCGCGGUAAUACGUAGGUGGCAAGCGUUGUCCGGAAUUAUUGGGCGUAAAGCGCGCGCAGGCGGUCUCUUAAGUCUGAUGUGAAAUCUCGUGGCUCAACCACGAACGGUCAUUGGAAACUGGGGGACUUGAGUGCAGAAGAGAAGAGUGGAAUUCCACGUGUAGCGGUGAAAUGCGUAGAGAUGUGGAGGAACACCAGUGGCGAAGGCGGCUCUUUGGUCUGUAACUGACGCUGAGGCGCGAAAGCGUGGGGAGCGAACAGGAUUAGAUACCCUGGUAGUCCACGCCGUAAACGAUGAGUGCUAAGUGUUAGAGGGUUUCCGCCCUUUAGUGCUGCAGCAAACGCAUUAAGCACUCCGCCUGGGGAGUACGGCCGCAAGGCUGA
rnacentral:rRNA from 1 species